CCCUUAGAUGUUCUGGGCCGCACGCGCGCUACACUGACGAAUGCAACGAGCUUAUAACCUUGGCCGAAAGGUCUGGGUAAUCUCCAAAUUUCGUCGUGAUAGGGAUAGAUUAUUGCAAUUAUUAAUCUUCAACGAGGAAUGCCUAGUAAGCGCAAGUCAUCAGCUUGCGUUGAUUACGUCCCUGCCCUUUGUACACACCGCCCGUCGCUCCUACCGAUUGAAUGGUCCGGUGAAGCGUUCGGACCGUGGCCUUUGGACGGUUCGCCGUCUGUUGGCUGCGGGAAGUUCGUUAAACCUUAUCAUUUAGAGGAAGGAGAAGUCGUANCA
rnacentral:rRNA from 1 species